UACAGAGGUCUCAAGCGUUGUUCGGAUUCAUUGGGCGUAAAGGGUGCGUAGGCGGUGGGGCAAGUCAGGUGUGAAAUCCCGGAGCUCAACUCCGAAACUGCAUUCGAUACUGCCGUGCUUGAGGACUGGAGAGGAGACUGGAAUUUACGGUGUAGCGGUGAAAUGCGUAGAUAUCGUAAGGAAGACCAGUGGCGAAGGCGGGUCUCUGGACAGUUCCUGACGCUGAGGCACGAAGGUCAGGGGAGCAAACGGG
rnacentral:rRNA from 1 species